UUGGUCGAGGUAGUUUUUGAUGAAGCUGAAGUCCAAUCAACUUGAAACUUGAUACACAUGUUCCCCAUGAUAUGAUCUUUCUAAUUUUAAUGCCAAAUUAUAGUUUUGACCCCAAUUUCAUGGUUCACUGAACAUAGAAAAUGAUAGUGCAAAGUUCAGGUUAAAGUUUUUGGUCAAGGUAGUUUUUGAUGAAGUUAAAGUUACAUCAACUUGAAACUUAGUACACAUGUUCCCUAUGAUAUGAUCUUUCUAAUUUUAAUUCCAAAUUAAAGUUUUGACCCCAAUUUCAUGGUCCACUGAACAUAGAAAAUGAU
rnacentral:lncRNA from 1 species